CGCAUGCACGAAACGCGUUGGUACGUUAAUACAGCUGUUUUUAGGAGGAAAGAAAGAUACUGGCAUGCUUAGCCAUUAAGAGACCCGCCGCACCGAACAGAACAAACAUCAAAGAGCCGCUAAUAGACGUGUCCGGCCCCAGCACGUAAAGCCGCAAGAAGACCCGCUACACUGAGCCGCUGCAUAGAGCUGCUGGAAGGAGCACUCUGCUAACUAUCUUCGGACAGAGCGUAAGAAGACCCGCUACACUGAGCCGCUGCACUGAGCCGCUGGAAGGAGCGCCCGGCUAACAAGCUCUGGUCAGAGAACGACGGAGCACAAAGAGCGAUGUUCAAUUGAAUGUAUUGAGCGUUGUCAUAGUGCUGGUGUAAUCACACAAGUUCCGCCCUCCCUUCUCCGGCCGGCCGGCUGAUGACACGGUCGGGAGGUCACUUCCGGUGACGUCGACGGGACCAUGCUGGGAAGCGGGCGUGAACAAACUAGAGCACUUGGGUGACUUAUAUAAGAGCGGUGUUCAAUUGAAUGUAUUGAGCGUUGUCAUGGUGAUGGUGUAAUCACAAAAGUUCGGCCCUUUCUUCUCCGGCCGGCUGGCUGAUGAUGUGGGUGGGAGGUCACUUCCAGUGACGUCGAUGGGACCAUGCCGGGAAGCGGGCGUGAACAAACUAGAGCACUUGGGUGACUUAUAUAAGGUGGGAAGGGCUCAUACAUAAAGGCCACAGCCUGAACCUCUCCUUGCCACUGCAUGUGGUGAAUGAUGCCCGGACUUAAACCCUCAAUGUCCUUGGGCAGGGGCGGAUUGGCCCACCAUGACACCAUGACAGAUUCCGAUAGGCCAGUCCCAUAUCCCCCUCAUCCAGGCCGAUUCAUACUCAGGCUGGACUGGCCCCCCUGCUUCCAGUACUUGCGGUUCAUUGGAGCACAAUCCGGAAGUUAGGCUAGAAAGGACUUCCGGGUGCCACUAGCCGUUAAAAGUGGUGAAGCUGUUCUACCAACAGGGGACCUGGAGAAAGUUAACCAGCCCAGCAGCAUCCUCUCCCUGGCCCCGGCCAAAGGUCUCUUCAAUGAGCCCGGCCCGGGAACAGCAGCAUAGCGAUGUUCGGAGCCGGGUUCACUACACCCACCGCCACCUUAGCUCCAGCACUCUCACUGAACUGGACAGAUAGGCGACUGAGAACUGAAGGGGACCCAGCAGAGAGGUUAUUUUUAAUGACAUUAUUUGCAUUAUUAUGAUGGUGUAAGGGUCAAGGCGUCCCCGGUCACAGUGUAUGGUUGGGGACUGGACAGGAGCAGGAUGCACCUUGUUCUCAGGAUGCCAGCUGAUCAGGCAGCACUCACAGCCAGCCCUGGGACAAUCUCUUAUGCAAAGUACUUCAGCCCUAUAGCUGCCCAAUGUCUGCUAUAGAGCCUAUUUAUGUAAUGAGAUGACUACGUAUGUAAUGCAGUGGCCACAUAUGUGGGGGCUAUGUAUGUAAUUUGGUGCUAUUUGUAUAAUGAGGUGAUAUACGUUUAAUGUGGUGCUAUUUGUGUAAUGUGGUUCUAGACGUGUAGUGCGUUGCUAUACAUGUAAUGCAGUGAUACUGUAUAUAUGUGAUAUGGUGCUAUUCCUGUAAUAAUGCGGUGGCUAUGUAUGUAAUGUGGUGGCUAUGUAUGUAAUCAGGGGCGGAUUGGCCACUGGGACAGAUUCUGCUGCGCUGGUCCCCUGUGUCUGUGUUUCACUACUUGUGUGUGCUCCCUUCCUGUACUGUGCUAUAUGUAGUGUGUGCUCCUUCUCCUUGUACUUUUAAACAUAUAAGGUAAAAAAAAAGGGGUUUGUAGAAUGAAAAAUCAAUAAAAUCAGAAGUAGAUUAAAGGCAUGACUGCAGUGUCAGUAGACACUGAAAGUAGGCAUUUCAGUCCUUGUAUAUUCAGAUGUACGGAUUGACAUCAGGGAAGGGCAUUCUAGUAGCAUAUGCAUAACGUCGCAGGUAAACAUUAACAUAACAUAAAGCAAAGGAGACCCCAACUGUGUCUAUCUCAGAAUCAGGACCACUAAGGAGUGACCCUGCCCUCUUGACAGAACCCUCCCCCACAACAGACUCCACCCCCAUUAGGUCUGCUUCCAUAAAUUUCCUGGGCUGGUGUUCGAUCCCAAUCCGCCCCUGUCCUUGGGCAUAGGUUUUAAUAGAUGAUGUUGAAGGACUACAGUGAUUUCAAAAUAUGUGCUGUAGAACGUUUUUACAGGCUACAGCGCACGUGGGACUCACUUUUUAAAAAUUAGCGGGUAAGUCAGAGUUCUGUGUGCGCUUUAGCCACUACUGGAAUGCUAUUGGCUGGGGCGCACACAGGACUCUAACUCGCUGCGUGUUCUGCAGGCCCCUCUCUUUCAUCAGUAGCCGUCUCCCCUGUCACUCACCGCUAGCAGCCAUUCCCCAUCUGAGACCUCUGUCCUUGCCCUGCCAUCAGGAGCUCAUGCCAAGUACAAGCUACGUGUCCAUCAAAUCAGGACGGGAACCCGGCACCGGAUUGGUCCCGCAGGCGGAGAGCAGUAGCUGUAGUGCGGCCUCUGUAGCGCUGAGGGGGCUGUGAGUCUAUCUCACCAGUGCAAAGUGAGCAGCAUGAGGUGACGGGAGGGGGGGGGGAAUUGCUGCGGUAGGCUUAGCUUUAAGUAAAGGAAAAGAAGGUCCCGGGCACAACACCACAGCAGGUAGCAUAGAAGGAGGCAACGGAUCCACUCUUGAAAAAAGUUGUCGCACGGACAGUACAUUGGCUGUUGGAGUGGACUCUGAAGGAAUAUUUGCUUUUUGGGCCUCCUUUUAUACUACCUCCAGUGGUGCCGUGCUCUCCAGCUCAGAACCUUAUUUUGCUUUACUUCAAGCUAAGCUCAUUGCAACACCCCUAGGCGGGUUGUUUUGACUAAAGUGUACCUGCACUGUUGCCACUUUACACAUUGCCAUGUGUGUUUUUAUUUAGAAUUGU